AUACGGAGGGCGCGAGCGUUAUUCGGAAUCAUUGGGCGUAAAGCGCGUGUAGGCGGCUGGGCAAGUCGGAUGUGAAAGCCCGGGGCUCAACCCCGGAAUUGCAUACGAAACUGCUCAGCUAGAGUCUCGGAGAGGAGGGCGGAAUUCCCGGUGUAGAGGUGAAAUUCGUAGAUAUCGGGAGGAACACCAGUGGCGAAGGCGGCCUUCUGGACGGUGACUGACGCUGAGGUGCGAAAGCGUGGGGAGCGAACAGGAUUAGAAACCCCAGUAGUCC
rnacentral:rRNA from 1 species